CCCGCCGGCGACCGGCGCACGGGUGAGUAACACGUAUGAAACCUGCCCGUAGCAGGGGGAUAAGCGGAAGAAAUUCCGUCUAAUACCGCGUAACAACCCAUGGAGGCAUCUCUGUGGGUUUAAAGGAAGCGAUUCCGGCUACGGAUGGUCAUGCGUCGCAUUAGCUUGUUGGCGGGGUAACGGCCCACCAAGCCGACGAUGCGUAGGGGUUCUGAGAGGAAGGUCCCCCACAUUGGAACUGAGACACGGUCCAAACUCCUACGGAAGGCAGCAG
rnacentral:rRNA from 1 species